UGGGGAAUAUUGCACAAUGGGCGAAAGCCUGAUGCAGCAACGCCGCGUGAGGGACGACGGCCUUCGGGUUGUAAACCUCUUUUAGCAAGGAAGAAGCGAAAGUGACGGUACUUGCAGAAAAAGCGCCGGCUAACUACGUGCCAGCAGCCGCGGUAAUACGUAGGGCGCAAGCGUUAUCCGGAAUUAUUGGGCGUAAAGAGCUCGUAGGCGGUUUGUCGCGUCUGCUGUGAAAACCCGAGGCUCAACCUCGGGCCUGCAGUGGGUACGGGCAGACUAGAGUGCGGUAGGGGAGAUUGGAACUCCUGGUGUAGCGGUGGAAUGCGCAGAUAUCAGGAAGAACACCGAUGGCGAAGGCAGAUCUCUGGGCCGUAACUGACGCUGAGGAGCGAAAGGGUGGGGAGCAAACAGGCUUAGAUACCCUGGUAGUCCACCCGUAAACGUUGGGAACUAGUUGUGGGGUCCAUUCCACGGAUUCCGUGACGCAGCUAACGCAUUAAGUUCCCCGCCUGGGGAGUACGGCCGCAAGG
rnacentral:rRNA from 1 species